UACGAAGGGGGCUAGCGUUGUUCGGAAUUACUGGGCGUAAAGCGCACGUAGGCGGGUCGUUAAGUCAGGGGUGAAAUCCCGGAGCUCAACUCCGGAACUGCCUUUGAUACUGGCGAUCUAGAGAUCGAGAGAGGUGAGUGGAAUUCCGAGUGUAGAGGUGAAAUUCGUAGAUAUUCGGAAGAACACCAGUGGCGAAGGCGACUCACUGGACAUGUAUUGACGCUGAGGUGCGAAAGCGUGGGGAGCAAACAGG
rnacentral:rRNA from 1 species